rnacentral:rRNA from 1 species
GGGUACCUACGGGGGGCAGCAGUGAGGAAUAUUGGUCAAUGGCCGGAAGGCUGAACCAGCCAAGUCGCGUGAGGGAAUAAGGCCCUAUGGGUCGUAAACCUCUUUUGUCAGGGAGCAAAGGCGUCCACGAGUGGACGAAAGGAGAGUACCUGAAGAAAAAGCAUCGGCUAACUCCGUGCCAGCAGCCGCGGUAAUACGGAGGAUUCAAGCGUUAUCCGGAUUUAUUGGGUUUAAAGGGUGCGUAGGCGGUCGGAUAAGUUAGAGGUGAAAUCCCGAGGCUCAACUUCGGAAUUGCCUCUGAUACU